rnacentral:rRNA from 1 species
CCAUGCAUGUCUCAGUACAAGCCAAAUUAAGGUGAAACCGCGAAAGGCUCAUUAAAUCAGUUAUGGUUCCUUAGAUCGUACCCACAUUUACUUGGAUAACUGUGGUAAUUCUAGAGCUAAUACAUGCAAACAGAGCUCCGACCGGAGACGGAAGGAGCGCUUUUAUUAGAUCAAAACCAAUCGGCGGCGGGCUUUGGCCCGUCGUCGUACAUCUUGGUGACUCUGAAUAACUUUUUGCUGAUCGCACGGUCCAGCACCGGCGACGCAUCUUUCAAAUGUCUGCCUUAUCAACUGUCGAUGGUAGGUUCUGCGCCUACCAUGGUUGUAACGGGUAACGGGGAAUCAGGGUUCGAUUCCGGAGAGGGAGCCUGAGAAACGGCUACCACAUCCAAGGAAGGCAGCAGGCGCGCAAAUUACCCACUCCCGGCACGGGGAGGUAGUGACGAAAAAUAACGAUACGGGACUCAUCCGAGGCCCCGUAAUCGGAAUGAGUACACUCUAAACCCUUUAACGAGGAUCAAUUGGAGGGCAAGUCUGGUGCCAGCAGCCGCGGUAAUUCCAGCUCCAWUAGCGUAAUGAUCAAGAACGAAAGUAGAGGUUCGAAGGCGAUCAGAUACCGCCCUAGUUCUAACCAUAAACGAUGCCAGCUAGCGAUCCGCCGACGUUCCUCCGAUGACUCGGCGGGCAGCUUCCGGGAAACCAAAGCUUUUGGGUUCCGGGGGAAGUAUGGUUGCAAAGCUGAAACUUAAAGGAAUUGACGGAAGGGCACCACCAGGAGUGGAGCCUGCGGCUUAAUUUGACUCAACACGGGAAACCUCACCAGGCCCGGACACCGGAAGGAUUGACAGAUUGAGAGCUCUUUCUUGAUUCGGUGGGUGGUGGUGCAUGGCCGUUCUUAGUUGGUGGAGCGAUUUGUCUGGUUAAUUCCGAUAACGAACGAGACUCUAGCCUGCUAACUAGGCGUACUUUCGACAUCUCAAAGGCCCCACGGCCCGGCGCUCUCGCGUCGCGGUCGCGCGCGGUUUUUACUGUCGGCGUACAAUCAAUUCUUCUUAGAGGGACAGGCGGCUUCUAGCCGCACGAGAUUGAGCAAUAACAGGUCUGUGAUGCCCUUAGAUGUUCUGGGCCGCACGCGCGCUACACUGAAGGAAUCAGCGUGUCCUCCCUGGCCGAGAGGCCCGGGUAACCCGCUGAACCUCCUUCGUGCUAGGGAUUGGGGCUUGCAAUUGUUCCCCAUGAACGAGGAAUUCCCAGUAAGCGCGAGUCAUAAGCUCGCGUUGAUUACGUCCCUGCCCUUUGUACACACCGCCCGUCGCUACUACCGAUUGAAUGAUUUAGUGAGGUCUUCGGACCGGUACGCGGCGGCGCUCCCGCGUCGCC